rnacentral:rRNA from 1 species
UCCUUUUUUUCUCUCUUUUUCCUUCCUCCCUUUGCGUCCCUGGCGCGUCGGUGGUUUGAUAAGGGUGUGGUGAAAGCCCGGGGCUCAACCCCGGGUCGGCCGUGCCGACUGUUGAACUCGAGGGCUGUAGAGGCAGACGGAAUUCCGGGUGUAGCGGUGGAAUGCGUAGAGAUCCGGAGGAAGACCGGUGGCGAAGGCGGUCUACUGGGCAGUUUCUG